rnacentral:rRNA from 1 species
GUGAACGCUGGCGGUAGGCCUCACACCUGCAAGUCGAACGGCAGCACAGUAAGAGCUUGCUCUUACGGGUGGCGAGUGGCGGACGGGUGAGGAAUACAUCGGAAUCUACUUUUUCGUGGGGGAUAACGUAGGGAAACUUACGCUAAUACCGCAUACGACCUACGGGUGAAAGCAGGGGAUCUUCGGACCUUGCGCGAUUGGAUGAGCCGAUGUCGGAUUAGCUAGUUGGCGGGGUAAAGGCCCACCAAGGCGACGAUCCGUAGCUGGUCUGAGAGGAUGAUCAGCCACACUGGAACUGAGACACGGUCCAGACUCCUACGGGAGGCAGCAGUGGGGAAUAUUGGACAAUGGGCGCAAGCCUGAUCCAGCCAUACCGCGUGGGUGAAGAAGGCCUUCGGGUUGUAAAGCCCUUUUGUUGGGAAAGAAAAGCAGCAGGUUAAUACCCCGCUGUUCUGACGGUACCCAAAGAAUAAGCACCGGCUAACUUCGUG